rnacentral:rRNA from 1 species
CCUACGGGAGGCAGCAGUGGGGAGUAUUGGACAAUGGGCGAAAGCCUGAUCCAGCAAUGCCGCGUGAGUGAUGAAGGCCUUAGGGUCGUAAAGCUCUUUUACCAGGGAUGAUAAUGACAGUACCUGGAGAAUAAGCUCCGGCUAACUCCGUGCCAGCAGCCGCGGUAAU